AGCCACCUCAAGCUGCCUCAGCCAGCAGCUGAUUCCACUUCACAGCCCAUGUGGAAUUUGCCACAGAACUUCUAUUGAAUAUUUUCCUGCCUAUGUUUUGGGCCGCAGACGUUAGGACUAUGUCUUUACCAGCAGAAGUUCUCCACCUUGUAAGAUUCAGCUCUGUCAAGUCUCCAUUUGCACCAAACUCUCUUCAUGUGCAUAACAUCCCAUCCACGUUGCAGAAGUCAGUGAGAAGGACAUGACCUGCUUCUUGGUUAAUCUCUCUUGGCACUCCAGAGACCACUGACAUCUGUGCUGCCUAAUGAGGUAGCUCUGUGUCUUCAUUCCCUACAACAAGCAGUACUCCCCAGCAUGAUUCCCCCUUCCUCCAGGAGUUAAUUAAUUUGUACACUCAAUAGGUAGGCUUAGAGUUAGAGAGCUAUUUAUACUGCCAGUUGGCUGCCAUCUCUUAGCUGUAUAAUGCCACUGUACAGUCUUGUAGGCUCUGCAAGUGUUUCUGUGUUGUAGCCCUUGGCACCUUUCACAGCCCAGAAACAUACCCUUGGUCCAGAACUGUGAAGAUAUUUUUAAAACACCUCCUUUGAGCAGCUAAGGCUGAUUAAAAGAAGCCAGUAUCAGAUUCUGUGAAAAUGAGAGUAAACUUUUAAAGCACUGCCAGAUGCCAGUUGGACAUUCAAGCUAAGAG